CGGGUGAGUAACACGUGAGCAACCUGCCCCGAAGACUUGGGAUAACACCGGGAAACCGGUGCUAAUACCGGAUACCCCCACCAGGCCGCAUGACCAGGUGAGGAAAUGAAUUUCGCUUCGGGAGGGGCUCGCGGGCUAUCAGCUAGUUGGCGAGGUAACGGCUCACCAAGGCAACGACGGGUAGCUGGUCUGAGAGGAUGGCCAGCCACAUUGGGACUGAGAUACGGCCCAG
rnacentral:rRNA from 1 species